ensembl:lncRNA
CUAACUUUGAGGAGCCGUGAAAGGAAGGGAGGGGGAACCCCUUGCAUAGAUAUAGUUGGACAUGGGGCAUAUUGGGUAAAUGAAGUACGUUGGACCACGAACAAAAAUUCCAAGUCCUCCCUCGUUCCCUUCCUCUCUCUUUUCAACAAAUCCAUCUAUGUCUGUUUUGUACUGAGUGCUUGCAGAGAGACAUAUCCAUUCUAGGUGAUAUCCUUCUGAAGAACAUCACAGACCAGAAGCAACGUAUAUUCUUGGGAGUGUAUUUUUUGACAUACAUUCUUUAUUACAGGUAGGUUUUUAUUUUCAUUUAGGCUUGCGUUUGGACAACUAAAGGAUGACAAUCCCCACUCACUGAAAACCAGUAUACUACAAAACACACAGGCCACAAUCAGCUGUUUCAUAUACUGCACAGUGAACCUCUGGCUCUAUUUCUGUAGCGUU